AGUGAACGCUGGCGGUAGGCCUAACACAUGCAAGUCGAACGGCAGCACAGUAAGAGCUUGCUCUUACGGGUGGCGAGUGGCGGACGGGUGAAGAAUACAUCGGAAUCUACUUUUUCGUGGGGGAUAACGUAGGGAAACUUACGCUAAUACCGCAUACGACCUACGGGUGAAAGCAGGGGAUCUUCGGACCUUGCGCGAUUGAAUGAGCCGAUGUCGGAUUAGCUAGUUGGCGGGGUAAAGGCCCACCAAGGCGACGAUCCGUAGCUGGCCUGAGAGGAUGAUCAGCCACACUGGAACUGAGACACGGUCCAGACUCCUACGGGAGGCAGCAGUGGGGAAUAUUGGACAAUGGGCGCAAGCCUGAUCCAGCCAUACCGCGUGGGUGAAGAAGGCCUUCGGGUUGUAAAGCCCUUUUGUUGGGAAAGAAAAGCAGCAGGUUAAUACCCCGCUGUUCUGACGGUACCCAAAGAAUAAGCACCGGCUAACUUCGUG
rnacentral:rRNA from 1 species